rnacentral:rRNA from 1 species
UUGAACGCUGGCGGCAGGCCUAACACAUGCAAGUCGAACGGUAACAGGAAGCAGCUUGCUGUUUCGCUGACGAGUGGCGGACGGGUGAGUAAUGUCUGGGAAACUGCCUGAUGGAGGGGGAUAACUACUGGAAACGGUAGCUAAUACCGCAUAACGUCGCAAGACCAAAGAGGGGGACCUUCGGGCCUCUUGCCAUCGGAUGUGCCCAGAUGGGAUUAGCUAGUAGGUGGGGUAACGGCUCACCUAGGCGACGAUCCCUAGCUGGUCUGAGAGGAUGACCAGCCACACUGGAACUGAGACACGGUCCAGACUCCUACGGGAGGCAGCAGUGGGGAAUAUUGCACAAUGGGCGCAAGCCUGAUGCAGCCAUGCCGCGUGUAUGAAGAAGGCCUUCGGGUUGUAAAGUACUUUCAGCGGGGAGGAAGGGAGUAAAGUUAAUACCUUUGCUCAUUGACGUUACCCGCAGAAGAAGCACCGGCUAACUCCGUGCCAGCAGCCGCGGUAAUACGGAGGGUGCAAGCGUUAAUCGGAAUUACUGGGCGUAAAGCGCACGCAGGCGGUUUGUUAAGUCAGAUGUGAAAUCCCCGGGCUCAACCUGGGAACUGCAUCUGAUACUGGCAAGCUUGAGUCUCGUAGAGGGGGGUAGAAUUCCAGGUGUAGCGGUGAAAUGCGUAGAGAUCUGGAGGAAUACCGGUGGCGAAGGCGGCCCCCUGGACGAAGACUGACGCUCAGGUGCGAAAGCUUGGGGAGCAAACAGGAUUAGAUACCCUGGUAGUCCACGCCGUAAACGAUGUCGACUUGGAGGUUGUGCCCUUGAGGCGUGGCUUCCGGAGCUAACGCGUUAAGUCGACCGCCUGGGGAGUACGGCCGCAAGGUUAAAACUCAAAUGAAUUGACGGGGGCCCGCACAAGCGGUGGAGCAUGUGGUUUAAUUCGAUGCAACGCGAAGAACCUUACCUGGUCUUGACAUCCACGGAAGUUUUCAGAGAUGAGAAUGUGCCUUCGGGAACCGUGAGACAGGUGCUGCAUGGCUGUCGUCAGCUCGUGUUGUGAAAUGUUGGGUUAAGUCCCGCAACGAGCGCAACCCUUAUCCUUUGUUGCCAGCGGUCCGGCCAGGAACUCAAAGGAGACUGCCAGUGAUAAACUGGAGGAAGGUGAGGAUGACGUCAAGUCAUCAUGGCCCUUACGACCAGGGCUACACACGUGCUACAAUGGCGCAUACAAAGAGAAGCGACCUCGCGAGAGCAAGCGGACCUCAUAAAGUGCGUCGUAGUCCGGAUUGGAGUCUGCAACUCGACUCCAUGAAGUCGGAAUCGCUAGUAAUCGUGGAUCAGAAUGCCACGGUGAAUACGUUCCCGGGCCUUGUACACACCGCCCGUCACACCAUGGGAGUGGGUUGCAAAAGAAGUAGGUAGCUUAACCUUCGGGAGGGCGCUUACCACUUUGUGAUUCAUGACUGGGGUG